UGCAAAACACACUUCUAACCCACUUCUAGAAGCUCGAUUACUCACCAAAUAUCAGUAAGGGAUCUUGUAUUUCUGCUGGCACCUCUAACUGCUCCUUUUAGAUUAAUUAACUGAAUAGUUAUGAUGCAUGAUAUUGCAUGCUAUUUUACUUAACUGUGAAAGCAUGUGACACCAAAUAUGAUUGAUGUACUAUCGUAUUGCGUUAUACUGAUCUAUUAUGUAUGCUUCUGAAUUGUGUUGUAAUGGGCCUUGUGUCGAGGUAAGUAGAAGGAACCCAUGGGUUCAGUAUAUGUGGAUUGUAGGUUGAUAUGAAGUAAGAAAAGGAAAAGGAUUAAAAA
rnacentral:lncRNA from 1 species